CCGACCUUAGCUCAGUUGGAAGAGCACAAGACUGUAAUUGGUCAAUUGGAGUGCCGUUCACACUUCAUCUGGGGUCGCCUGUUCGAACCAGGCAGGUCGGA